rnacentral:rRNA from 1 species
UACAGAGGGUGCAAGCGUUAAUCGGAAUUACUGGGCGUAAAGCGCGCGUAGGUGGUUUGUUAAGUUGGAUGUGAAAUCCCCGGGCUCAACCUGGGAACUGCAUCCAAAACUGGCAAGCUAGAGUGUGGUAGAGGGUGGUGGAAUUUCCUGUGUAGCGGUGAAAUGCGUAGAUAUAGGAAGGAACACCAGUGGCGAAGGCGACCACCUGGACUGAUACUGACACUGAGGUGCGAAAGCGUGGGGAGCAAACAGG